CUCUGUUUUCUUCUUCCCCAAUUCAUUCGAAAUUGCCCCGCAUGAAAAUUUCCUCCCUCGCUCGCGUCUCAUCGUUGCUCUGCCCACCGCCACCGUCGGCGCCGCCUCUCUGAGCGACCCUCCCUCUGCCCAAACCAAGAUUGCGCAGUUUGAAAAGGUAAGCGGAGACCGAUUUAUUCUCUACCUAGUGAGGAUGUAAGUACCACGUAAUUACUCUGCCCAGCAACGCCCCCGUCGACCCUCCCAUCCUCUCCCCGAGAUUUUCUUGGAUUUUCACGGCAAACAGUUAAUACUAGUGAUUUACACUAGUAAAUCAGACAAGCACAAGAAAUGGUUCUCGUUGAUUGAUGCGGUAACGUUGUCACAUAAGAGGGUUCUGCUACCUGUUAAAAAACUUCGUGAGUCUUCUCUUGUUAGCAGCGAGUUGCAUAGGACACUGUAUGGCUUUAUUCUAUUUGACGUUUCAUGGAACAAUGUCCGAGGCAUCAAUUACUUGAAUGAGCUUCAGGGAAGACACUGCUUGCAAAAACACUAGCUCGAUUUGUGAACGUGCCCUUUGUCAUCGUUGAUGCAACAACUUUGACACAGGUGCAUCACUUUUCCAACUGUGGGGUAAGAUGGUGCUUUUAAUUUCUGGGACAAAGACAAUAAACAGAGACUCAAGUUGUGUCAAGAAGUGCUGCUGCAAGAUGGGCAGGGGAAAGAUUGAGAUCUAGAUGAUUGAUGACGUACACUACCAAUCGUCAAGUCACCUUCUGCAAGCGGAUUAAUGAACUCUUGAAGAAAGCUUGUGCUGUUACUUGUGCUAUUUGCUUGUGCUGUUGCUUGCUUGGUAUGACACCAAGGCUUCUGAAGUGUAACUGUGGUUUUGAUGUGUUGUACAGUGGAGGAAAAGCUAGAUUAGUGCUAAAAGUAUGCACAUUGGAGGAAACAAGAAAAUGAGACUACUUAGAUUAGAAUCUUGGAUUUUGGAAUAUUGGAUUUUGUAAUGAAUAUUAUGAGACUACUUAGGUCGUAAUAAGCUGCUUUGUAAUGUUGUAUCCAAUUGGAAUGAAUAUUAUGACUCAAUAUUUUACUAGAUGACUUAAUCUAAGGAUGGUUAUUUGAUGGCAGUGUAAA